rnacentral:rRNA from 1 species
UACGGGGGGGGCAAGCGUUGUUCGGAAUUACUGGGCGUAAAGGGGACGUAGGCGGCCAACUAAGUCUGACGUGAAAUCCCAAGGCUUAACCUUGGAACUGCGUCGGAUACUGGAUGGCUUGAAUUCGGGAGAGGGAUGCAGAAUUCCAGGUGUAGCGGUGAAAUGCGUAGAUAUCUGGAGGAAUACCGGUGGCGAAGGCGGCAUCCUGGACCGACAUUGACGCUGAAAGCCGAAAGCUAGGGGAGCAAACGGG